rnacentral:rRNA from 1 species
GACGAACGCUGGCGGCGUGCCUAAUACAUGCAAGUUGAGCGCUGAAGGUUGGUACUUGUACCAACUGGAUGAGCAGCGAACGGGUGAGUACCGCGUGGGGAAUCUGCCUUUGAGCGGGGGACAACAUUUGGAAACGAAUGCUAAUACCGCAUAAAAACUUUAAACACAAGUUUUAAGUUUGAAAGAUGCAAUUGCAUCACUCAAAGAUGAUCCCGCGUUGUAUUAGCUAGUUGGUGAGGUAAAGGCUCACCAAGGCGAUGAUACAUAGCCGACCUGAGAGGGUGAUCGGCCACAUUGGGACUGAGACACGGCCCAAACGCCUACGGGAGGCAGCAGUAGGGAAUCUUCGGCAAUGGACGAAAGUCUGACCGAGCAACGCCGCGUGAGUGAAGAAGGUUUUCGGAUCGUAAAACUCUGUUGGUAGAGAAGAACGUUGGUGAGAGUGGAAAGCUCAUCAAGUGACGGUAACUACCCAGAAAGGGACGGCUAACUACGUG